GAUGCGCACACGUGAGAAUAUCUUAAAGAUAUUGAUGGAGCUGCAAGAUUGGAAGGAGGCACUAAAGUAUUGCAGAUUAACUAUUCCAGCUUAUCGGAGAGUUUAUCCAGAAUGUCAUCCUUUACUCGGACUGCAAUACUAUACUUGUGGAAAACUUGAAUGGUGGCUUGGUGAGACUGAGGAAGCGUACAGGUCACUAGCCAAGGCAGCAGAGGUACUGCGAAUUACUCAUGGAACAUACACCACUUUCAUGAAGGAGCUUUUUGUGAAGUUAGAAGAAGCUCGUGCGGAGCUUUCUUACAAGAUUUCAUCCAAGGAAGAAUGAUUAUUGAACAUCUGCAUCCACAGAUGCACAAACUCUUAGACGAUUGCACAAAAUUCUGUUAUACAUGUUCAGCAAAAGGUGAGGAUGCAAAGAGUCUUGUAGACGACAUAUACAAAAUUCCGGAACAUCAGUUCAACAAAGUACGGACCUUCUUUCCUGAUCAUUACAACGAAUUUCUUGCGAGAUACUGAUCUCUCUUUUUCCUAAUGUCUUCUGAAUUUACUAUU
rnacentral:misc_RNA from 1 species